rnacentral:rRNA from 1 species
UAGGGAAUCUUCCGCAAUGGGCGAAAGCCUGACGGAGCAACGCCGCGUGAGUGAUGAAGGUCUUAGGAUCGUAAAACUCUGUUAUUAGGGAAGAACAAACGUGUAAGUAACUGUGCACGUCUUGACGGUACCCAAUCAGAAAGCCACGGCUAACUACGUGCCAGCAGCCGCGGUAAUACGUAGGUGGCAAGCGUUAUCCGGAAUUAUUGGGCGUAAAGCGCGCGUAGGCGGUUUUUUAAGUCUGAUGUGAAAGCCCACGGCUCAACCGUGGAGGGUCAUUGGAAACUGGAAAACUUGAGUGCAGAAGAGGAAAGUGGAAUUCCAUGUGUAGCGGUGAAAUGCGCAGAGAUAUGGAGGAACACCAGUGGCGAAGGCGACUUUCUGGUCUGUAACUGACGCUGAUGUGCGAAAGCGUGGGGAUCAAACA